GACGAACGCUGGCGGCGUGCUUAACACACGCAAGUCGAACGGUAAGGCCCUUCGGGGUACACGAGUGGCGAACGGGUGAGUAACACGUGGGUGAUCUGCCCUGCACUUCGGGAUAAGCCUGGGAAACUGGGUCUAAUACCGGAUAGGACCACUGCCUGCAUGGGUGGUGGUGGAAAGCUUUUGCGGGGUGGGAUGGGCCCGCGGCCUAUCAGCUUGUUGGUGGGGUGAUGGCCUACCAAGGCGACGACGGGUAGCCGGCCUGAGAGGGUGACCGGCCACACUGGGACUGAGAUACGGCCCAGACUCCUACGGGAGGCAGCAGUGGGGAAUACUGCACAAUGGGCGCAAGCCUGAUGCAGCGACGCCGCGUGAGGGAUGACGGCCUUCGGGUUGUAAACCUCUUUCAGCACCGACGAAGCGCAAGUGACGGUAGGUGCAGAAGAAGGACCGGCCAACUACGUGCCAGCCGCCGCGGUAA
rnacentral:rRNA from 1 species